GAUGAACGCUGGCGGCGUGCCUAAUACAUGCAAGUCGAACGCUGGAAAUCUAGCUUGCUAGAUUGAAGGAGUGGCGAACGGGUGAGUAAUACAUAAGCAACCUACCCACGAAGACUGGGAUAAUCUCUGGAAACGGGGACUAAUACCGGAUAGGUAAUCGGAAGGCAUCUUCUGAUUAUUAAAGGUUAAAAACACUGGUGGAUGGGCUUAUGGGGCAUUAGUUAGUUGGUGAGGUAACGGCCCACCAAGACGAUGAUGCGUAGCCGGCCUGAGAGGGUGAACGGCCACAUUGGGACUGAGACACGGCCCAGACUCCUACGGGAGGCAGCAGUAGGGAAUUUUCGGCAAUGGGGGAAACCCUGACCGAGCAACGCCGCGUGAGUGAUGACGGCCUUCGGGUUGUAAAGCUCUGUUGUAAGGGAAGAACGGUAGAUAGAGAAUAUCUAAAUGACGGUACCUUACCAGAAAGCCACGGCUAACUACGUG
rnacentral:rRNA from 1 species